rnacentral:rRNA from 1 species
UAGCCGUAAACGAUGCUCACUAGGUGUAGGGAGUGAUAAACUCUCUGUGCUGAAGCGAACGCGCUAAGUGAGUCGCCUGGGGAGUACGUCCGCAAGGAUGAAACUCAAAGGAAUUGACGGGGGAGCACCACAACGCGUGGAGCCUGCGGUUUAGUUGGAUUCAACGCCGGACAUCUCACCAGGGGCGACAGCAGAAUGAUGGCCAGGUUGGUGACCUUGCUUGACAAGCUGAGAGGAGGUGCAUGGCGUGUGACUGU